rnacentral:sRNA from 20 species
AUACUAAACGUGCCGAAGUUCCUUCAAAGGAACACGGAGGAACCAUUACUGGGGUGAAUCCGCACAUGCGGUAGGGAUUUCCCUUAUCCCGAACCCGUCAGCUAACUUCGUAGGCAGAGAAAGGGAGUGGUU